AACGAACGCUGGCGGCAGGCCUAACACAUGCAAGUCGAGCGCCCCGCAAGAGGAGCGGCGGACGGGUGAGUAACGCGUGGGAACGUGCCCCAAGGUACGGAAUAGCCCCGGGAAACUGGGGGUAAUACCGUAUGUGCCCUACGGGGGAAAGAUUUAUCGCCUUGGGAUCGGCCCGCGUUGGAUUAGGUAGUUGGUGGGGUAAUGGCCUACCAAGCCGACGAUCCAUAGCUGGUUUGAGAGGAUGAUCAGCCACACUGGGACUGAGACACGGCCCAGACUCCUACGGGAGGCAGCAGUGGGGAAUCUUAGACAAUGGGCGCAAGCCUGAUCUAGCCAUGCCGCGUGAGCGAUGAAGGCCUUAGGGUUGUAAAGCUCUUUCAGGGGGGAAGAUAAUGACUGUACCCCCAGAAGAAGCCCCGGCUAACUCCGUG
rnacentral:rRNA from 1 species